rnacentral:rRNA from 1 species
CAUGAAGCUGGAAUCGCUAGUAAUCGCAGAUCAGAAUGCUGCGGUGAAUACGUUCCCGGGUCUUGUACACACCGCCCGUCACACCAUGGGAGUCGGAAAUGCCCGAAGUCGGUGACCCAACCGUUUAUGGAGGGAGCUGCCGAAGGCAGGUCUGGUGACUGGGGUGAAGUCGUAACAAGGUAGC